rnacentral:tRNA from 1 species
GGUUCCAUAGUGUAGCGGUUAGCACGUCUGCUUUACACACAGAAGGUCCUGAGUUCACGCCCCAGUAGAGCCA